rnacentral:rRNA from 1 species
GAACGGUAGCACAGAGAGCUUGCUCUCGGGUGACGAGUGGCGGACGGGUGAGUAAUGUCUGGGAAACUGCCCGAUGGAGGGGGAUAACUACUGGAAACGGUAGCUAAUACCGCAUAACGUCGCAAGACCAAAGUGGGGGACCUUCGGGCCUCACACCAUCGGAUGUGCCCAGAUGGGAUUAGCUAGUAGGUGGGGUAAUGGCUCACCUAGGCGACGAUCCCUAGCUGGUCUGAGAGGAUGACCAGCCACACUGGAACUGAGACACGGUCCAGACUCCUACGGGAGGCAGCAGUGGGGAAUAUUGCACAAUGGGCGCAAGCCUGAUGCAGCCAUGCCGCGUGUAUGAAGAAGGCCUUCGGGUUGUAAAGUACUUUCAGCGGGGAGGAAGGCGGUAGAGUUAAUAGCUUCACCGAUUGACGUUACCCGCAGAAGAAGCACCGGCUAACUCCGUG